rnacentral:rRNA from 1 species
AGUGAGCGCUGGCGGUAGGCCUAACACAUGCAAGUCGAACGGCAGCACAGUAAGAGCUUGCUCUUACGGGUGGCGAGUGGCGGACGGGUGAGGAAUACAUCGGAAUCUACUUUUUCGUGGGGGAUAACGUAGGGAAACUUACGCUAAUACCGCAUACGACCUACGGGUGAAAGCAGGGGAUCUUCGGACCUUGCGCGAUUGAAUGAGCCGAUGUCGGAUUAGCUGGUUGGCGGGGUAAAGGCCCACCAAGGCGACGAUCCGUAGCUGGUCUGAGAGGAUGAUCAGCCACACUGGAACUGAGACACGGUCCAGACUCCUACGGGAGGCAGCAGUGGGGAAUAUUGGACAAUGGGCGCAAGCCUGAUCCAGCCAUACCGCGUGGGUGAAGAAGGCCUUCGGGUUGUAAAGCCCUUUUGUUGGGAAAGAAAAGCAGCAGGUUAAUACCCCGCUGUUCUGACGGUACCCAAAGAAUAAGCACCGGCUAACUUCGUG